rnacentral:lncRNA from 1 species
UUUGUAGUUGGAGGAAAAGGAGGAUUCCAAGCUGAUCAUUGAGUCGAAUGGGGGAUAUAUAAAUUAUGAUCUCUGCCUCGUGGGGAAGUUCUUGGGGGAGCGGGUGGUGAAUUUUGCGGCCAUGAAACGAAAGCUAUCAUCGUUGUGGUGGCCGCUGCAAGGGGUGUGUAUCAACACCAAGUCAUUAAAAUAAAAAAUGCAUAACCAAAUAAUAAUAAUAAUUAGUCUUAGCAAUUUGAAGAAGGCAAAGGCAAUAAAUAAUGAAGUAAACAAUGGUAAUACCUUGAAAGCAUAAAGCGGCACAUGAAAAAUUAAUAGCAAGAGAAUGACAAACAUUUAGAAUGAAUUGAAGGAACUAUAGUAGUAGGGGAAGAGACGAGCAACAACUCUUUAACUUUUGCUCGGUCUGUCAAUUUCACCGUGGUUUCCGGAAUAAGCAUGGUGCUUUUCUGAAAGUGUUCUCGGGUUUUUGUCCUGCUCUGUUUAAGCCAUGUGUGGCGGAAGCCGUCUCAGUCCGAGAAGCAUUGUCGUGACUUAAGGUUGAAGGCUUUGAUAGAGGUCUUUACUGCUCUUUAGUCUCGGAUCUUCGAUUUUUUAGCGCUGGGAAUUCUGAUUGAUGAUUGCCGAAUCCUGCUGGCUCAAUUUCAAGACGUGACCUUCC